GACGUAGGGCGCGAGCGUUGUCCGGAUUUAUUGGGCGUAAAGAGCUCGUAGGCGGCUUGUCGCGUCGACUGUGAAAUCCCGCGGCUCAACUGCGGGUCUGCAGUCGAUACGGGCAGGCUAGAGUUCGGUAGGGGAGACUGGAAUUCCUGGUGUAGCGGUGAAAUGCGCAGAUAUCAGGAGGAACACCGAUGGCGAAGGCAGGUCUCUGGGCCGAUACUGACGCUGAGAAGCGAAAGCGUGGGGAGCGAACAGG
rnacentral:rRNA from 1 species